ACGAAGGGGGCUAGCGUUGUUCGGAAUUACUGGGCGUAAAGCGCACGUAGGCGGACAUUUAAGUCAGGGGUGAAAUCCCGGGGCUCAACCCCGGAACUGCCUUUGAUACUGGGUGUCUAGAGUAUGGAAGAGGUGAGUGGAAUUCCGAGUGUAGAGGUGAAAUUCGUAGAUAUGUGGAGGAAUACCGAUGGCGAAGGCAGCCCCCUGGGAUAACACUGACGCUCAUGCACGAAAGCGUGGGGAGCAAACAGGA
rnacentral:rRNA from 1 species